rnacentral:rRNA from 1 species
UACGUAGGGGGCGAGCGUUGUCCGGAGUACUGGGCGUAAAGCGCACGCAGGCGGUCUGCUAAGUUUGGAGUGACAGUUGGUGGCUUAACUGCCAAAGUGCUUCGAAAACUGACAGACUUGAGGGCUUCAGAGGGACACGGAAUUCCGGGUGGAGUGGUGAAAUGCAUAGAUAUCGUCAAGAACACCGAUAGCGAAGGCAGCUUACUGGGCUGUAACUGACGCUGAUGCACGAAAGUGUGGGGAUCAAACAGG